CAGUUCUAAUUAAAUAAUCAUCGCUCAAUCACUAUCUUAGACACCAUCUGACCCUAACCAAUUUCAAAUUUGGUUAACCUAAGUGAUCAAAGCUUGAGCCACUAAGCCAAGAUCAGAUUAUGAGUCAAGAUUUUUAACACAUGCAAGUCAAUUGAUUUGAUCCUACAACAUUGAUUCGAUCUUGAGCUGACUCGACCUAAUCGUAAUCAACUCCUUGAUUCGAUUAGAUCAAUUGCUCAUCUCGAUUAAGCCCAACAUCUGCUAAUCAAGAAUCCUAGGACUCUAAUCAAAUUAGAGAUCCAAAUUGAUCAACCCAUGAACCCA
rnacentral:lncRNA from 1 species